GUGAAGCUGCUCUCUGCUGUACUGGAGGAUCCCAGCUGUAAACUGGAGAAGCUGAAGGUGGACCGGUGUGAACUCACAAAGAAAUGCUGCGAGACAUUGGCUUCAGCUCUCAGAUCAAACUCCUCACACCUGAUAGAGUUGGACCUGAGUGACAAUGACGUGCAGGAUUCAGGAGUGACACUGCUUUCUGCUGCACUGGGGGAUUCAGACUGUAAACUGGAGAUACUGAGGCUGUCAGGCUGUAGAGUCACAGAAGAAGGCUGUUCAUCCCUGGCUUCAGCUCUGAG